UGCUGAUACAUUGGUUCCCGUACGAUCACUGAAGUUAAGCAACGUCGAGCCUGGUCAGUAUCUAGAUGGGUGACGGCUUGGGAAUACGACUGGCUGUAA